AGGGUGGUUGAUACAUGUCUUCACAUUUUUCAGAGCAACGUGCAGUGGAAGAAGCAGCCUAUGAACUGAAAUAGUUUGCAUAAGAAAUAGGCGAUGUACUCAGCCACCUACUACACAUGGAUGUGAUGACUUCGGAGUGUUCUGCAGCAUUUGGCUGUUUGCAGUAUUUUGGACCAGCCAACUUGUGGUCAUGAAUCUUAUGUCUGUUUUGGACCAUUUGGUGCUUCAAGUGUUUUGGAGCAUAUAUCUUGUGCUCAUGGGUGUGAUAUAAGUGUUUUGGUUCAUUUAAUGUUAGAACUCUUUUAGAACAGCAAAUAGUGGUCCCUUUAUGUGGCUUGUGUUUUCUCGAUGGUGGUCAAAAUGGCCAAACUUUGCUAUGUAAGGACUG
rnacentral:rRNA from 1 species